rnacentral:rRNA from 1 species
AGUGAACGCUGGCGGUAGGCCUAACACAUGCAAGUCGAACGGCAGCACAGUAAGAGCUUGCUCUUACGGGUGGCGAGUGGCGGACGGGUGAGGAAUACAUCGGAAUCUACUUUUUCGUGGGGGAUAACGUAGGGAAACUUACGCUAAUACCGCAUACGACCUACGGGUGAAAGCAGGGGAUCUUCGGACCUUGCGCGAUUGAAUGAGCCGAUGUCGGAUUAGCUAGUUGGCGGGGUAAAGGCCCACCAAGGCGACGAUCCGUAGCUGGUCUGAGAGGAUGAUCAGCCACACUGGAACUGAGACACGGUCCAGACACCUACGGGAGGCAGGAGUGGGGAAUAUUGGACAAUGGGCGCAAGCCUGAUCCAGCCAGACCGCGUGGGUGAAGAAGGCCUUCGGGUUGUAAAGCCCUUUUGUUGGGAAAGAAAAGCAGCAGGUUAAUACCCCGCUGUUCGGACGGUACCCAAAGAAUAAGCACCGGCUAACUUCGU